rnacentral:rRNA from 1 species
GUGAGGCCUCUGGGUCCAACCUCCCACCCGUGUCUAUCGUACCUUGUUGCUUCGGCGGGCCCGCCGUUUCGACGGCCGCCGGGGAGGCCUUGCGCCCCCGGGCCCGCGCCCGCCGAAGACCCCAACAUGAACGCUGUUCUGAAAGUAUGCAGUCUGAGUUGAUUAUCGUAAUCAGUUAAAACUUUCAACAACGGAUCUCUUGGUUCCGGCAUCGAUGAAGAACGCAGCGAAAUGCGAUAAGUAAUGUGAAUUGCAGAAUUCAGUGAAUCAUCGAGUCUUUGAACGCACAUUGCGCCCCCUGGUAUUCCGGGGGGCAUGCCUGUCCGAGCGUCAUUGCUGCCCUCAAGCACGGCUUGUGUGUUGGGCCCCCGUCCCCCUCUCCCGGGGGACGGGCCCGAAAGGCAGCGGCGGCACCGCGUCCGGUCCUCGAGCGUAUGGGGCUUUGUCACCUGCUCUGUAGGCCCGGCCGGCGCCAGCCGACACCCAACUUUAUUUUUCUAAGGUUGACCUCGGAUCAGGUAGGGAUACCCGCUGAACUUAAGCAUAUCAAUAAGCGGAGGAAA